rnacentral:tRNA from 1 species
AGAAGACCUGGCUACUACUCUGCUUUGAACUCAGAAAGAGGGUGUUCGAAUCACCCAUCUUCUU